rnacentral:rRNA from 1 species
CCUACGGGAGGCAGCAGUGAGGAAUAUUGGUCAAUGGGCGCGAGCCUGAACCAGCCAAGUAGCGUGAAGGAUGACUGCCCUACGGGUUGUAAACUUCUUUUAUAAGGGAAUAAAGUGAGGCACGUUUGCCUUUUUGUAUGUACUUUAUGAAUAAGGAUCGGCUAACUCCGUGCCAGCAGCCGCGGUAAUACGGAGGAUCCGAGCGUUAUCCGGGUUUAUUGGGUUUAAAGGGAGCGGAGAUGGGUUGUUAAGUCAGUUGUGAAAGUUUGCGGGUCAACCGUAAAAUUGCAAUUGAUACUGGCAGCCUUGAGUACAGUUGAGGUAGGCGGAAUGCGUGGUGUAGCGGUGAAAUGCGUAGAUAUCACGAAGAACUCCGAUUGCGAAGGCAGCCUACUAAACUGCCACUGACAUUGAUGCUCGAAAGUGUGGGUAUCAAACAGGAUUAGAUACCCGGGUAGUC